rnacentral:rRNA from 1 species
CCUCCUUUGACUCGAAUCCAUCCUGAUCGAUGACCAUCCGCUACUCGCUCCACCUCUACUAUCCGCUCCUCGUUCUUCUCCAAUAUCCACUACCAAGUCUCCUCCUCCUCCUCCUCCUCCGCGAGGGAGAGGUAAGCCUCGGCCACGCCGCCGAGUCCCGCCGGCCAGCCGCCCCCGACCACGUGCGGGAGCAGCGGCUGUUGCAGGUGCCCCUGUUGGAGGCCGACGACGCCGCGGUCGCGGCGUCCUACCUGUCCCACCCGCACGCCGUCGGCUGCCACCUCCACGCCACCGCCCCGCACGCGCACCUCCGGCUCACGGUCGAGCAGGCGCCGUUCGGCGAGGGGUGCGAGGAGUUGAGGCGGCAGAGGCCGGAGAGGGACGAGUGGUGGUACGACCCCGAGUUGGCACCGGCUCUUUCCUAGGUGUAGGAGUUUCUACAGUGGCCGUAGGAUUUUGGAAGGUCCUACUGGGAAGAGGAACCUGGGGGCCCGACACCGUUUUGGUGGGAAAACGAUCGUGAACGGCCUUUCGAGUUGUUUUUAGAGUUCCACAGUCGUCUUUAACUUAUGUUACCACAGUUCGACUUUCUAAAACAGGGGCUCUUCUGCCGCCGAAUGUAGCCGGUCAUACUAGAAGUACAGGGAUUCUACUGACAGUCCCUCUGCGAGCUGAAGAGACGUUCUAAAGUCCCGCAACCGUCGUCUCGUCUUUAGUACUUCCUCCAGUAAUCUUCCCUCUUCCUCCGGCCCUAGUGGGGACUGGGGCUGUAUCUAUGAAUGUACUUCCGUUAUACACACCUUCCAAACCUUUCUUCGUACGUUUGUCUGAUGUAAUACUUCUAUUACCCUGAACUGUGUACACGACUACAUGAUCAGCCUCUACGGUACUCUUCUCCAUAAAGACCGCCACUCUUCUUUUCUGAUUGGUGUCCUCUCUACUAUCAUCCUGGUAGUUUUCACGAGAAGUACCUACUUUAUAGUUGACCCGACCUGUCAAGAUGGUGGAAGGUUCAACAAAGAACGGAGGUUGUUGAUCGAGUAUAUAGUCUCAAAUGGUAUGAGCAGAGUGAGGAAGUUGGUCGUGGUCUCUGGAUGCUUGAAAAACUGCUAUAAUAGAACUACCGACUUCCUGUUUAGCAUAUGGUACCGGGAUUCUCGACGUAAUACUCAAAGAAACUUAGUACACCGAAAUUCACAGGGGUUUCUUUUCCUUCGCGGUUGAAGGAAGUUCUCCAGAACAGUUCUUUUCUAGUUGUUGUCAUGACCUCGGCGUGACUUCUUUCUAUAUUAAAACAAUGUCAACUGGUUAAGACACUAUUCAAGUUUAGUAGAGUUGUACCAGCCUUAGAACGGCUCCUCGAAAGUUUCGGCGUACUGUUUAGUUUUCCUGUAUUCUUACGGGACAGGAAGUCAUAGAUGAGUAAUAGGUUCACCCUAGAGGAGUUCCGUACAAAACGUGCGCUCGAUGAAGAAUACUUCUCCUUACGGAAGUAGGUGUAUUGUUUUCGGUGGGUCGAACCCGAUAAACCAGAAUAAUGACCCUGCCAUAAAGACGCCUGUGCAUACCCACAACUGUCUUGAGUACGAUUGAUAAUAUACCCAAGUGAGAAGAUACGCGAGGACGACGACUAUCACUUACCUAAGGGACUGGACCGGUACUGUUAACUUUCUGACGGCCAGAAGAUGUUUGUAUCUCUGUUGAUGAAGAUAGGACGUACCCGAAUACGCUAUGGUAGAAAAUAGGAUUUCUAAGGUAAGAGAAAUCAACCCAGCCAUCGAAACUGUAGCUAUAGGAUGAUGAACUAACCGAUAUGGGGUCUUCGUAGGUCCAAAAAGAUAGUCGAGGAGUAGGAGAAGGACUACGUGUGUCAUUGUAAUAGUUACAAGGCAACACAACGGUGUAUGACAGUUUGUUACCACCGACCAAGACAACCACCAUGAGACCGUAAAGAUAAGUGGGAAAAUAAACCCCCAAAGAAUUAAGGAGCAACCUCCUACCAUAACGGAAAGUGUGGGGAACGUUAUAGAAAGGUCCUACAGUUGAUGAUGCAUCUGUGGGGGCGCCUUUACUCCCUCGUACCAAAGUACCUUUCUUUUGACGUUGAUGAGGUAUUAUAGUGUCCUCGUAAAGUCGGCCCCCAAGAGAGCCGUGAGUACCCCCAAUGACCUCGCCCCUUUUGUUGAGAGGAACUACAAGAACGACCUUCCUUUUGUCCUCCACAAUAACUUCCCCUUUAUUCUUAUCCCCAUCCACUUAGUCAACGUAUAAAGCGAACCAACGCGGAAGGUGAUCUUUGACUAAGUUUUCGUUCUUUACUUAAACAGUUACUUCAAGAACUUUUUUAACUCAACCUACUUUAUUCUCUAAGAAACCAACCUUAUGGUCGCCAUUUACCUAACAGCUGUCUCGUUGCCUUUGCUGAGUGAUAUCGUCAGCUCGAACACAGAUUGGGAAGUUAGUAUAAGUACCUACUCGGUUGUAGUCCGAACCUACGUUCCCGUCGACGAUAACAGUACGCACGUCAGUUCUUACAACGUCUGUGCCCAGCUUGUCAGCACACGUGGUAAGUGGUUGGUUCAUAGCUAUAUAAACUCCGUAAACUACUCAACUACGAGUACUCUUCUCCACCUCUCAACUAGAUACGACCCGGUCAACCUGUGGUAAGAACACUCCAGUAGGUUAUAAAGGUCCGUUAUGUACUCUAUGGAUCCUAGUUCCUGUUGAUGUUGGGUAGUUGUACCUACGAUCUUCAAUGAAGAUGUAGAUACCUUCGAGUUCACCCUCGUCUAAAACAUGUUUACAUAUCCCGUAGCAGUUACACGUUUUUGCUGGUCGCUCCGGAGAAGUGGUAUAACCCCACGUACAUACCUUAGUGAGACAAGUGGCCGUGGUUGUAAACGGUCCGUCACUACGGUAAACAGCGGUAGCUCGCGAGGCAACAAAUGUCCCUCUCCAAACGUCCCUACAUGAGAGGAACCCGGAUGGGAAAACGUGUCCAACGGUACCUCUAUGGAAUACACGACCAAGUUCAUCACUACAAGUACAACUAUCGUAUAGGCUACUAGCCCAUGCGCACCUGUCGUCGUUUUAAGAAGACCAAGUACAUGUGGUACAGCACGUGCGACGAGAUGAAGCAGAUGGACCCUUACUACUAACACAGCGAGUGGGGAUUGUAGGUUGAACGUAAGUAUGAAUGUAGACACACGGUGCCGGACGUUUUGGAGUAGAGGCCGAAGGAGCUACGUCAGGCAAAGCCUAGAGUAUCGCUCGGUACGGGGCCUGCAGUAGAAGAACGUCGGUGAGGAGACAGAGGAUAGGGAAGGCGGCGGCGAGCAGCGUCGAGGCGGAGGGGCGGACCGUCGCCGGUCUCUUCCCGGAGGGGCGGAGUGGAGGAGAAGGAGAGAAGGGCUCCCACGAACGGCCUCCCUAGCGCGCCGCCGAGAUACCGUCUCUGCCGUCGCCGUCGUCUCAGCCUAUCGCCCUCGCUCCACCCGGGUUGGCCCCUGAGCCGCCUCAAGCGAAGCGGCCACUUCCGCUCCUUCUCCCGCGGCCUCAGCCUCCGGCCGUGGAGCCGCUGCUGCCGCAGGCUCAGGAGCCUCUGCUCCCAGCUGCUACCGUUGUAGGUCCUCCGGCUCAGGAGCGAGGCGCUCCCGGAGAGGGAGUUGAUGCUCUUGUUUUGUCACCCCUGUUUCAACUAUUAUCGCUGUUACGUUUCUUCCUUCCCCUUCCUUAGCCCCUUUCGAACACUUCUCUUCCGGGGACUCUUGUGACUACGGUUCCUUCUCUUGAGUCUACUACGACUCCUCAACUUUCACAGUCUACGUGUUCCCUCGCCCGACGAGAGCCACGAGCUGGCCUACGAGUGGCUGUUCCUCAUGGCAACGCACACGCGGGUCCACGUCGCGUUCCCGCACCUCCGCCUCCCCAUGCGGCAGCUCCCCUAGAGCCACCCGCCCGUGUUCUGGACGUAGUGUCACGGCAGGGAGUUGCAGCGUAAGCUGUAGCCGGCACCGGGUGAGAAGCGGCACGCGGUACUGGUGGAGAAGUAGUGCGUGCGGGUGGAGCUGGUGUAGCGUUAUGGUGGAAUGAUGUUACAAAAACGAUUAAAGAGUCGUGAACGCGUCUUUCUGUUCUCGAUGCACAACGAGUUCCUUGUUGAACGACAACAACAAGGACACGAUCUGCUGGACUUUACGUUCUGUCUUUUUUCCUAGUUCGUCAUAAUACUAUAAGCUAGUGUCUAACUCUUCUAUACGAGGCUCAAUUCACUCGUAUUACUAGUCCCACUAUUACAUUUGUCAGGUCGACGCCGCGGUCGCCCAAACAAGAGCCGAAAAGAACUGACCUUCGCGUCACGGUGGUUGGGGAUGCCGCGACUACCGGCGGGAGCGGAGGUGGGCCACAAGACGCUGGUGUCCGACGUACACCGCUACACGGCGAAUGGGCUCGGGUGAGCCAGCCUGUAAGCCAGGCACCGGUCCGAGCUGUUUCGGGUGCUGAUGGAGGCCGUGAAGCGGUCGACGAGGAGGGUGUUGCGGCAAGAGCGGCCACUGUACUUGACCCUGCUUCUGGAGCUGCCAGGGAAGGGGUAGCGGCGACCUAGCCCCACCCACCUGCGGACCGCACUCGACGCCCCACUACUGCCGCGGCCGCCCACCUGCAUGCUGAGCCACCGCUUGGGCUACGACGCGCCCAAGUUCGGGCCCCCCUCCGCCUACUCCGGCCUAUCCAAGGAGACGUUCGAGUCCCUGAAGUCGGACCUGUCGUGGCUCUACCAGCCCUGUCUUCGGUAAGGACCGCAGUGGAUGAUGCUGCUCUUCCCCCCGCACGACGACGGCCAAGAAGGGUCGGUAGCGUAACCGAACGACGAGUGGUAGAGCGGGUUCGUCCGAAUC